rnacentral:misc_RNA from 1 species
GAUGAAGAACGCAGCGAAAUGCGAUACUUGGUGUGAAUUACAGAACCCGUGAACCAUCGAGUUUUUGAACGCAAGUUACGCCCGAAGCCGUUAGGCUGAGGGCACGCCUGCCUGGGUGUAACACAUCGUUGCCCCAAUGCCAAUCGCCUCACUUUGUAGGUAUUUUCUUGGGGUGAAUGUUGGCCUCCCGUGAGCUUUGUCUCACGGUUGGUUGAAGAUCGAGUGCAUGGUGUCAGGUGUACCAUGAUGGAUGGUGGUUGAGUGAUGAUGCUCGAGACCAAUCAUGGGUAACUCCACCAGAAUUGGGCUCGAUGACCCACAUGUGUCCCUUGGAUGCUCCCUAAGGAAACCUCAGGUCAAGCGGGGCUACCCGCUGAGUUUAAGCAUAUCAAUAAGCGGAGGA